ensembl:lncRNA
ACAAGCAUGUUGUACAAACCUCAGUGACACUUGGGUCGUUAGUCAGCACUGUAUUACCAUAACAAGUGACCGGAGAAGAAAGAGAGGAAAGAACAAGUGACCGGAGAAGAAAGAGAGGAAGAAGAAAGAGAGGAAGAAGAAAGAGAGGAAGAAGAGAGAGAGGAAAGCCAAAAAUAGAUGUGAGAAAAGAGGAACAGACUUGUGGUGGGGGGAAGGGUUGAUUUAGACCAGGGGAAUGAGUGAAAGAUGGAGAGAUAGAGAGAUAGAGAGAUGGAGAGAUGGAGAGGUGGAGAGGUAGAGAGAUAGAGAGAUAGAGAGAUGGAGAUGGAGAGGUGGAGAGAUGGAGAGAUAGAGAGGUGGAGAGAUGGAGAGAUAGAGAGAUAGAGAGAUAUAGAGAUGGAGAGGUGGAGAGAUGCAGAGAUGGAGAGGUGGAGAGAUAGAGAGAUGGAGAGAUGGAGAGAUAGAGAGAUGGAGAGAUAGAGAGGUGGAGAGAUGGAGAGAGAGAGA